UUGUUUUUUGUUCUUUGGGCUUGUCGCCCGUGUUUUCCUUGCUUCCCUCUGCCUUCUUUUUUAUUUUUUGCAUCUAUCUUCUUCUUUUGUUUUUUGUUCUUUGGGUUUGCCGCCCGUAUUUCUUUGCUUCCCUCUCCCUUCAACGUUGCUGUGUUGUUGCUGGUAUUCGUUCAGCUUUUCACUGUGGUUUGCUGGGUAUUCUUAAGGUUGGAUUGAUUAUUCAGAAAUGGAAAAUUGUUCACUACCCAAGAUCUGGGAAUGGUAUUGCCGAUGUGGGCAAGAUUGAAGAUCUGCUGAUGGUUAUGCCUUAAUUCUUUCUCUGCUGAUUUUUUCUUUCAUUUAUCAUGUUACUGAAAAGUUCUCUGUUUUUUGUUGUAGUCUCUUUGAUGGUGCCUUGGUCAUUUUCUAAAAUGAACGACAUUCUGUUCCAUCUUUUUUGCUAGUGUUAUUUCUUUUGGAUUUUUUUAUCUCUGAUUGGCUCGAUUGCCUUUUCUUUGCUGUUUAUGUUUUAUUGGUGACUAUGUCUAGCUAUUUUUGGUUGCAAGCUUUGUUGCUGAUUUUCAUUUUAUGGCCUUUGUCUUGCUGUCAUUGUUGGGAUUUAUUUGAAAACUGAUCCGGGAGUAUGGGAUUGUUUCAUUGAGUUUGUUGAUUUUUGCAAGCUGAUUCUGUAGUGAUGGAAGACGUCAUCGCCUAGUCUGUUGUCGUGAUAAAAGCAAGGCGAGAGUAUAAAGGAAGAGCAGGUGGUAGACCAUGUUCUUGAUUGCAGUUAGGCAAAACAAAUAGUAGCUCCUCAUUAACUAUUUGAAAGAAUAUCCCAUGAAAAGGGACAGAAAGGAAGCAAGGUGUUUCUAUGUGCAAAAAAAAAUUUACGGGAAUCACAUCAUGGAUCUCUUGCAGAUUGAAUUAGUACUUCAUGCUAUAUGAAAUGUGGAAGGUCUCCUUAUGCUCAGAGUUCAUAUGACAUCUAAUGUUCCUCCCGAUGAUACCCUUAAAGUGAGGGUUAAACUAGUAAAUGCCAUACUUGAUUGGCUUUCUUCCCUCUUUCGGUUUCAGGAUAGUUCAUGGUAUGCGCAUUAAAGAUGGAAAAGCAACAUGUCUCCCAAUGUCGUUUGGAGGUGCUAAAUUUAUGAAGGUAUACAUUGAAAAGGUUGAAAAACGUUGGCUGAUUAGUUCUAAUUAGUGAUUUUUUUAUUUAUCGUCAUGCUAUUUAUAAGGGAAUAUGCGUCUUAAAUUAAUGGAAUAUAAAGCAUUGCAAGGUUGUAUAGCUAUAUUUCUAAUUUCCUUGAGCUGUUCUUUAAGUAGUUUAAACUUAUGAAUUUAAACAGUAUUGGAAUUAAAAUACA
rnacentral:sRNA from 1 species